UACGGGGGGGGCAAGCGUUGUUCGGAAUUACUGGGCGUAAAGGGCUCGUAGGUGGCCAACUAAGUCAGACGUGAAAUCCCUCGGCUUAACCGGGGAACUGCGUCUGAUACUGGAUGGCUUGAGAUUGGGAGAGGGAUGCGGAAUUCCAGGUGUAGCGGUGAAAUGCGUAGAUAUCUGGAGGAACACCGGUGGCGAAGGCGGCGUCCUGGACCAAUACUGACACUGAGUGAGCGAAAGCCAGGGGAGCAAACGGG
rnacentral:rRNA from 1 species